CCUCGCCCCCCUCUCUGAAAAAAUGGACGAUCCCCUCCCCUUAACCUAAAAAACCCGUCGCCACCCCUUCUUCUUCUUCACUCUCAUUUCUCACCUCCACCCACUAAUACACGCACCCUCACACACACGAAUAUUCAUCCAAAGACUCCCACAAGCAUUCCAAAAAAAACUAAAAAAAACAAAACAAAGUUUCUACGAAUUCGAAACUUGAUUUCGGAUCUGAAACAAGAAUUUUCAAAAAAAAAUGAAAGAAGAAGAGAAGUUGUAGAAGAGAAGAUUUCAAAGUUGUUAUAUGUUCUGGGUUUCUCCAAAAGAGUGAGUUGGCUGUUUGUUUGCUGCUGUAUCUUUCAAUUAGUAGCUGAUCUCAACUUGUAGCUGUGCUUUUCGGCCUUGACUUGGUUAUUUGGAACUUUAUUACUGCUGUUAAGGAACAUGAUUUACAAAGGAUUGAUAAAAUCGAGGCACUUUGAGUUGGCGCAAGAAGUAAGUUGUAGUAGGAAAUGUAUUGGAGUCAUCUUUUGAGGUUGAGCUGUUAGGGGAGAAAUAUUUUAAAUAGUCUUGGCAUGGGUCUAAUUUUGAAGAAAGAUGUCAAUAGUUCUUAUGCUGGAUUCUAAGCGUUGAUAUAAACUAUUGUCAUUGGUGUGA